rnacentral:rRNA from 1 species
GGCCAACGGGCGAGCUCUGGGUCACCUCCCACCCGUGUUUAUCGUACCUUGUUGCUUCGGCGGGCCCGCCUCACGGCCGCCGGGGGGCAUCCGCCCCCGGGCCCGCGCCCGCCGAAGACACACAAACGAACUCUUGUCUGAAGAUUGCAGUCUGAGUACUUGACUAAAUCAGUUAAAACUUUCAACAACGGAUCUCUUGGUUCCGGCAUCGAUGAAGAACGCAGCGAAAUGCGAUAAGUAAUGUGAAUUGCAGAAUUCAGUGAAUCAUCGAGUCUUUGAACGCACAUUGCGCCCCCUGGUAUUCCGGGGGGCAUGCCUGUCCGAGCGUCAUUGCUGCCCUCAAGCACGGCUUGUGUGUUGGGCUCUCGCCCCCCGCUUCCGGGGGGCGGGCCCGAAAGGCAGCGGCGGCACCGCGUCCGGUCCUCGAGCGUAUGGGGCUUCGUCACCCGCUCUGUAGGCCCGGCCGGCGCCCGCCGGCGAACACCAUCAAUCUUAACCAGGUUGACCUCGGAUCAGGUAGGGAUACCCGCUGAACUUAAGCAUAUCAAUAAGCGGAGGA